GACGAACGCUGGCGGCGUGCUUAACACAUGCAAGUCGAACGGAAAGGCCCUGCUUUUGUGGGGUGCUCGAGUGGCGAACGGGUGAGUAACACGUGAGUAACCUGCCCUUGACUUUGGGAUAACUUCAGGAAACUGGGGCUAAUACCGGGUAGGAGCUCCUGCUGCACGGUGGGGGUUGGAGAGUUUCGGCGGUUGGGGAUGGACUCGCGGCUUAUCAGCUUGUUGGUCGGGUAGUGGCUUACCAAGGCUUUGAGGGGUAGCCGGCCUGAGAGGGUGACCGGCCACAUUGGUCCUGCGGGACGCACCAGAAGGGUAUGUGAGGCAGUAGUGGGGAGUAUUGCGGAGUGGCGCGAAGUGUGAGACAACGAUGCCGCGUGCGGAAUGACGGGUUACUGGUUGUAAACCGCUUUCGCAUUUGACGAAGCGUGAGUGACGGUAAUGGGUAAAGAAGCACCGGCUAACUACGUG
rnacentral:rRNA from 1 species